AAACUUUCUGAAUGGGGCCUGGCCCACUUCUCUUUCUCUCCUCCAAAUGAGGAGUUAAAAAUGUUACUAGCAUAGCCCACCCGUGUAAUCCGUUGAAAAGGAACAAAAGGAAAAAAGAAAAGAAAGAAAAGAAAAAAAAAGAAAAAGAAAAAACAAAACAAAACAAAAAAAUCCUCCUAGAAACCAGAAGUAGAGAGAUUUCUGCUAAUUCUGGGCUUUGAAGCGUACGUCUUUUGAGGGGGCAUUUUGAUGUGGUCCUCCUUGCUUCUGGAGGGACUUGGUUCCCUUUAGAAAACCUGCCCUGGGAAAAGACUUCUUGGUUUUGAGGAAGAUCCUUGGUUAGCGAUGAUCUUGGAGGUGGACUAAGUCCAGAGCCAUCCCUGAAGCCAGGUGACUGUCCCAAGGUCUUCCCUCCCGGGAGCCCAACCUUUCGAGUGCAGCCAAACCUUACUGCUUUUACAACAUUGCACAGCUGUGUAGAAACCCCGUGUUCUUUCCCAUAGGUGCCAAUUUGGGUGGGGGAGGAAGGAACAAUUACAAGAUCCCCAUCUGUCUGCCCAUGCCACCUAAACAAGUCAGGACUCCAAUUGGAUUUUGAAGUUAUUUUAAUUAUAGAAUUAUUUUUUUAGAAGAAAGAUGGAUGUGAUAGUCUAUAUUUGUGUGUUUCUAAAGUUGUGUCUUGUGGGGGAAUUGGAUUCCAUUUUAGUUAUUUAAUACCUCACUCCCACCCACCUGCAUACUGCUUGUGUGUCCCGGCCUGUCCCGCAAGCCUAGUUGUGCUUUUUGUUGUCUGUUCCCCGUGCCCCCUCCUGUGUCUCACUCUGUCUUCUUGUCACUUGAUGUGCAUUUGCUGUUGUUCUUUCGUUUCUGUCUAAAUGUCAGUGUGUUCAAACCCCCAGAGGGUUCUGUUUUUCCCAUUCCCUUCUGGACUUUAAAUAAAUAUUUAAAACUGAGCAAUGG
rnacentral:lncRNA from 1 species